CUUGUUAGGAGAGGACGCAGGAUAGGUGUGGUGAAGUCGGAGAGCCAAAGAUUUCAUUUAGCGUUGAACCAAAUAUGUCUUGUGAAUGACAUUCCUGUAAGAAGAAGACGCAGGAUAGGUGUGGUGAAGUCGGGGAGCCGAACGUUUCAUUCAGCGUGGAAACAAAAACGAGUAGUCUACGUCCUAACUGCCCCUUCCUAGGCCGAUGCGACUGAUAGAAGCUUACCUUCCGUCCAUAUUUAGGAGCCAGAGAGAGGCAAACACACAUACACACAAUCUACAUGGUGAAAAUUGCGGAUACUGCUAUUGUGAUUUCCAGUGUUUAGUCCUACAUAUAUUUAUAUAUAUAUACAAAGAUCAAUAUCGCACCUUUUAAAAACUAUAAAGUAGGUAUUGAUUAUGAUCCGUUUCAAGUUAUACCUUGGGACAAGCUCAGAUGUAUCUAAUUAUAUUUGAAAGCCAUUUAGUUUAGCUCCAAUUUUCUCAAAUAAUAGUGUAACUAUUAAAUUACUUAAAGUGACACGUAAUUAUCAGUGUUUGUAAAUCUCAAAUUUCAAACUUGAAAGGAAAAGUGCAAUUUUUUCCGUUAACGUUAGUUGAGACAAGAGUAAAAUUAUCUAAUCAAUCAACUUCUGCAAUAUUUGUUAUUAUUAUUUACACUGGAGAAGCCAAUUUUGUUGUUUGUCAUUAUUUGUAUUACUUAUCUGACACUUGUGUACGACAGUUUUGACCGAAUAAAUGAGCUAUCCACUGGA